GAAAUGCGAUAAGUAAUGUGAAUUGCAGAAUUCAGUGAAUCAUCGAAUCUUUGAACGCACAUUGCGCCCCCUGGUAUUCCGGGGGGCAUGCCUGUUCGAGCGUCAUUUCACCAAUCAAGCCUCGCUUGGUAUUGGGCGACGCGGUCCGCCGCGCGCCUCAAAUCGACCGGCUGGGUCUUCCGUCCCCUCAGCGUUGUGGAAACUAUUCGCUAAAGGGUGCCGCGGGAGGUCACGCCGCAAAACAACCCCAUUUCUAAGGUUGACCUCGGAUCAGGUAGGGAUAUCCGCUGAACUUAAGC
rnacentral:misc_RNA from 1 species